GCCGACGUAGCUCAGUUGGCCAGAGCAGCUGACUUGUAAUCAGCAGGUCGCGGGUUCGAAUCCCAUCGUCGGCUCCA
rnacentral:tRNA from 1 species